GCAUUCUGCGAGCUGAAAAGGAUGAGAACCUCCGGGGAAAGAGGUUCGACUCCAGCGGAGCGAGAGAACGUUGCGUGAGCAACGGUCCGAAGUCCGACAGGACGGCCUCCAUCAUCAAAUUUUUACACCCGCGAA
rfam:Enterobacter sp. 638, complete genome.